rnacentral:rRNA from 1 species
GACGAACGCUGACAGAAUGCUUAACACAUGCAAGUCAACUUGAACUUCGGUUUGGGUGGCGGACGGGUGAGUAACGCGUAAAGAACUUGCCUCACAGAUAGGGACAACAUUUGGAAACGAAUGCUAAUACCUGAUAUUAUGAUUUUAGGGCAUCCUAGGAUUAUGAAAGCUAUAUGCACUGUGAGAGAGCUUUGCGUCCCAUUAGCUAGUUGGAGAGGUAACGGCUCACCAAGGCGAUGAUGGGUAGCCGGCCUGAGAGGGUGAUCGGCCACAAGGGGACUGAGACACGGCCCUUACUCCUACGGGAGGCAGCAGUGGGGAAUAUUGGACAAUGGACCGAGAGUCUGAUCCAGCAAUUCUGUGUGCACGAUGAAGUUUUUCGGAAUGUAAAGUGCUUUCAGUUGGGAAGAAAGAAAUGACGGUACCAACAGAAGAAGUGACGGCUAAAUACGUGCCAGCAGCCGCGGUAAUACGUAUGUCACGAGCGUUAUCCGGAUUUAUUGGGCGUAAAGCGCGUCUAGGUGGUUAUAUAAGUCUGAUGUGAAAAUGCAGGGCUCAACUCUGUAUUGCGUUGGAAACUGUAUAACUAGAGUACUGGAGAGGUAAGCGGAACUACAAGUGUAGAGGUGAAAUUCGUAGAUAUUUGUAGGAAUGCCGAUGGGGAAGCCAGCUUACUGGACAGAUACUGACGCUGAAGCGCGAAAGCGUGGGUAGCAAACAGG